GCAGGAGGUAACAACGUAGGCGUUGUCGCUGGUGGGGCAGCAGCUGCUGUAGCUUUGGUUGUUGUGAUUGUAGUCGUAGUCGUCUUCUGGAAAAGACGACAAAGGAAUGUAAACACAGAUAAAGAAGACUUCAGUGAUUUAAAAUGCACAUCGCCUCCUCCAGAUGAAGGUAUAGAUAAUGACGAUGAGUGUGACAUCGAUGCAGAAUUACAGAAACGGUGCUACAAUCCCAAGACGGAAGACGAUAACGUGUAUGCAAAUGUAGGACAAACCCAGAUCGAAGUGGCUAACUUGCAUUCAUUUAUCCAGGGCAAAACAGAAGGUGAAUUUCAGGAAGAGUAUGAGUUGCUGCCAUCUGGUUUACAAGCCAGUCACAAUGUUGGAAAGAAACCCUGCAACAAAAUUAAGAACCGAUUUGUGGCCAUAUUC